GAUGAACGCUGGCGGCGUGCCUAACACAUGCAAGUCGAACGAAGCUUGACGAAUGAUUUUUUCGGAAUGAAUUCUGAUAUGACUUAGUGGCGGACGGGUGAGUAACACGUGAGCAACCUGCCUUUCACAGGGGGAUAACAGUUAGAAAUGACUGCUAAUACCGCAUAAAACAGCAGUACCGCAUGGUACAACUGUCAAAGAUUUAUCGGUGUAAGAUGGACCCGCGUCUGAUUAGCUAGUUGGUGGGGUAACGGCCUACCAAGGCGACGAUCAGUAGCCGACCUGAGAGGGUGACCGGCCACAUUGGGACUGAGACACGGCCCAA
rnacentral:rRNA from 1 species